rnacentral:tRNA from 1 species
CAAAAUGUAGUUUAUACAAAACCUCUCGCUUACACCGAGAUAAUAUCUAAUUAUAUAGAUCANGGGGGN